GCAGGGCCAGUGCUAUGUGCCUGUAGUCCCAGCUACUGGGGAGGCUGAGGUGGGAGGAUCGCUUGAGCCCAGGAGUUCUGGGCUAUAGUGCCGCUAUGCCAAUCAAGUGUCCACACUAAGUUAGGCAUCAAAAUGGUGACCUCUCAGGAGCAGGGACCACCAGUUUGUCUAAGAAGGGGUGAACCAGCCCAGGUCAGAAACAGAGCAGGUCAAAACUCCUGUGCUGAUCAGUAGUGGGAUUGCGCCUGUGAAUAGUCACUGCAGUCCAGAGCCUGGGCAACAUAGCGAGAUCCUGUCUCAA
ensembl:misc_RNA Metazoa_SRP Metazoan signal recognition particle RNA